rnacentral:lncRNA from 9 species
CCCGGUUGUGCAGAGCGCCUGCGUGGGGGUUGCGUGCGUGCCGUGGCGUGCGUGGGGGUUGCGUGCGUGCCGGGGAAGGGAGCCCCGGGAGCGACUGCUGAGGGACACCGCGGCGAGCGAGCAUGGGUGGAGGAGCUGAGGGUGUGAGCAGGGCUGCAGCGGGCAGGUCCAAGGCAGGGAGAGUCUCCAUAACAGCUCUGCACGAUGGGAGGACCCCAAGACAGCAGCCCAAGGAGGACAGGCAUUCUCGUGAGACAGCCGGAAUCCAGGUCUUCAGCUCCUCUGUGGUGCCGCAGGGGCUCCUGGGAGUCCGCCAUCUUGUGGACAGUGAACGGCCAGCCGUCUGCUCUCUACUGGAUCUGAAGACAUCCCUGGGAGCAGAGCGGAUGUUGGUAGCAGAUUCCAGUAUGGGAAGCUCAGAGAAGGUAAGCAGGGUGUCGGGGAGCCCCUGCCUGGGGUCCUCUGCAGCCGCCGUGUCGCUGGGGACUCGGUGUCCGUCCCUUGGUGUGGUGCUUGGAGCCGAGGGUGGUGGUGGACACCUGUGGUGGGGAGGACGGUCAUGCCCAGGUGGGGCCAGGGGCCAAGUGGCUGCUGGGGUCACACUCACACAACUCACAGUCACUUCUAAUUUUUCAGUUUCCAGAUGGCAGAUUAUGGGAUUUUUUUCCGCCUUCAAAAUUGUGAGUUGA